AUUGAACGCUGGCGGCAUGCCUUACACAUGCAAGUCGAACGGUAACAGGUCUUCGGAUGCUGACGAGUGGCGAACGGGUGAGUAAUACAUCGGAACGUGCCCGAUCGUGGGGGAUAACGCAGCGAAAGCUGUGCUAAUACCGCAUACGAUCUACGGAUGAAAGCGGGGGAUCGCAAGACCUCGCGCGGACGGAGCGGCCGAUGGCAGAUUAGGUAGUUGGUGGGAUAAAAGCUUACCAAGCCGACGAUCUGUAGCUGGUCUGAGAGGACGACCAGCCACACUGGGACUGAGACACGGCCCAGACUCCUACGGGAGGCAGCAGUGGGGAAUUUUGGACAAUGGGCGCAAGCCUGAUCCAGCCAUGCCGCGUGCAGGAUGAAGGCCUUCGGGUUGUAAACUAGCUUUUGUACGGAACGAAAAGACUCUCUCUAAUACAGGGGUGAAUGACGGUACCGUAAGAAUAAGCACCGGCUAACUACGUGCC
rnacentral:rRNA from 1 species